AUUCAGCUGAUGAAUCCCAAAUAGGACGAAACGCGCUUCUAACUGGAU
rfam:Schistosoma mansoni, Puerto Rico, WGS project CABG01000000 data, contig: 0077